AGCGAACGCUGGCGGCAGGCCUAACACAUGCAAGUCGAGCGCCGUAGCAAUACGGAGCGGCAGACGGGUGAGUAACGCGUGGGAACGUGCCCUUCAGUUCGGAAUAACCCAGGGAAACUUGGGCUAAUACCGGAUACGUCCGUAAGGAGAAAGAUUUAUCGCUGAAGGAUCGGCCCGCGUAAGAUUAGCUAGUUGGUGAGGUAACGGCUCACCAAGGCGAUGAUCUUUAGCUGUUCUGAGAGGAAGACCAGCCACACUGGGACUGAGACACGGCCCA
rnacentral:rRNA from 1 species